GACGAACGCUGGCGGCGUGCUUAACACAUGCAAGUCGAACGGAAAGGCCCUGCUUUUGUGGGGUGCUCGAGUUGCGAACGGGUGAGUAACACGUGAGUAACCUGCCCUUGCCUUUGGGAUAACUUCAGGAAACUGGGGCUAAUACCGGAUAGGAGCUCCUGCUGCAUGGUGGGGGUUGGAAAGUUUCGGCGGUUGGGGAUGGACUCGCGGCUUAUCAGCUUGUUGGUGGGGUAGUGGCUUACCAAGGCUUUGACGGGUAGCCGGCCUGAGAGGGUGACCGGGAAAAUUGGGACUGAGAUACGGCACAGACUCCUACGGGAGGCAGCAGUGGGGAAGAUUGCACGAUGGGCGGAAGCCUGAUGCAGCAACGCCGCGUGCGGGAUGACGGCCUUCGGGUUGUAAACCGCUUUCGCCUGUGACGAAGCGUGAGUGACGGUAAUGGGUAAAGAAGCACCGGCUAACUACGUG
rnacentral:rRNA from 1 species